GUCGGUGUCGCGAGCGAAGUGGUCCCACCUCUUCCCUUUCCGAACAGAGAAGUGAAACGCUUUAGCGCCCACGAUACUGGUUUUUACCGGGACAAUAAGUCGAUGCCGGCG
rnacentral:rRNA from 1 species